AUCAAUUGGACAUGCAACCCUAAAUCAGCCACCAGUUAAAUAGGAAUAAACGAUUGGUUUAUCAGAAACAAAAAAAAAAUACAAAUAUUAGACGAGAUUGUACCUACGAUUCAGAAUCGAAGAACAGUUGUUGGGUUUUAGAGAUUCUGGAAAACCAUUACGACGAGAUAGAAAUAGGAGAUUAAUUUUUUAGAGUCAGACCAAUCGGGAAAAUAAUUGAGACGAAGAGAUAG
rnacentral:lncRNA from 1 species